GACGAACGCUGGCGGCGUGCUUAACACAUGCAAGUCGAACGGUGAACCCCUUCGGGGGGGAUCAGUGGCGAACGGGUGAGUAACACGUGAGCAACCUGCCCCUGACUCUGGGAUAACCCCGGGAAACCGGAGCUAAUACCGGAUAUGACACGCUCGGGCAUCCGAUGCGUGUGGAAAGAUUUAUCGGUUGGGGAUGGGCUCGCGGCCUAUCAGCUUGUUGGUGGGGUAAUGGCCUACCAAGGCGACGACGGGUAGCCGGCCUGAGAGGGCGACCGGCCACACUGGGACUGAGACACGGCCCAGACUCCUACGGGAGGCAGCAGGUGGGGAAUAUUGCGCAAUGGGCGAAAGCCUGACGCAGCGACGCCGCGUGA
rnacentral:rRNA from 1 species